CCAUACACACAAAACGUGACACGUCUCCCUCAGUCUGUGGACGAUUGGAGCUCCCCUUUCAUCAUUUCAAUAAAUACGCACCUAGGCCACGCUGACCUUUUCAUUUUUCUUCCCUACUUUCUCCUCUUGGGUUUUGUGGUUCCUCCACCAGCGCAACGACUGUAACCAAUUUUCGUCCAGAUACUUCUACUUCCAGCUCAGUAACAGAGAAAGAGACGGCGGUUGGUGGAUCUGACGGUGGUGCCGGAGAAUAUGUCGUCCGGGAGGUACAUGGCGUAUUCACCAUCUCCCUCUGCUCCUCCCUCUCCUCAUAUCGGCGCCGCCGGCUUCCGCUCUGUCUCAUCUGCUGCAGCCGCCAUAGUCGAGCAAGAAAAGUAUAGUCUUUUAUCCUCUUAAUUUCUUAUUAUCGCCUAUAGUAUUCGUACUAGUGUAGAUUUACAGCAUCAAGAAUGGAUCUUCGGAAUUUCAGCAAUUUUAAGUUGUAGUUUGUUCAGAACUGAUUUUGUGAAUUUUUAGUGGAAUUCAGCUGGGGAUCCUCAUUUUCGUGAUUUAUUUGUUUUUACAGAAUCUUGUUCGUAUGAUAUUGUGUGAUUAUGUUGUUCUGAAUAACUGCAAUGGUUGUUCGAUCGAGAUAACUGGAUCUCGGCAAUUUUUUGUCCUAACUUUGUGAGAUUGUACUGAUUAAGCAUACGCUUUAGCGUAGUGGCAUGUUAUGAUUGAAUGUAUAUAAUUCUUCGUUUUUCUUCUAUUCGAGUAUCUCUCUCUCUCUCUCUCUCUCUCUCUUUUUUUUUUUUUUUUUUUUUUUU
rnacentral:lncRNA from 1 species